rnacentral:lncRNA from 1 species
CUUUUUACACUGUCUGAUAGUGAUAGCACAAGAGGGAACAGCUUUGAACUAAAAGAGGGGCGAUUUACGUUGGAUGUUAGGUGGAGAUUCUUUACUCAGAGAGUGAUUUGGCACUGGAACAGGUUACCCAGAGAAGCUGUGGAUGCCCCAUUGCUGGAGGUGUUCAAGGCCAGGUCGAAUGGAGCCCUGGGCAUACUGAUCUCAUGAGUGGCAAUACUGCCCAUGGCUGGGUGGCUGGAACUAGAUGACAAGCUAAGCCAUUCUAUGAUUCUCUGACUUAACAAGAAGGUGUCCAAUAGAAGGUCUAGGGAGUAAGGUCACUAAGGUUGCACCCAUUCAGUUCCAACUGAAAAGUUACCAGAGGCACUGGUUUAAGUUCAGCCACAGCUGAACUUAAAAAUUGGAGUAGCACAGCUGAAGGGAGACAAGAGUGGAGCAGUCCUGGAGGGGCCUGUGUUACAGCCUGUUUAUGUCACUUGAUGUAGUCACCUGUGUUUGGGAGCAGUGUGGAGCUACUGCAUCCAACAAAGAGCAUCAAGAAACAUCAUGACCCUACACACAAUCCACUGCAGGACCAAGCCACCAAUUCUGCACAGCCACCAGUGCUGUCUGGGAUUCAGGAAAACUGAGAAAUCUGAAAAGGCUGAAACUGUUGCCCUGAGGGAGAGGAAAAUGCCCCAGAAGACCAGGAACCCUUCCAUCUAUGCUAAGAGAAUACUUAUUAAAUUAAACAUCUCAUGCCUGCGUAGCAGCAGCUUGUAUCUCUUAAUGUGCAAAAUCCCUGCACAAAGUUAG